UGCCCCAUGGCUGAGUUGGUUACAGCGUCCGACUGUUACUUGAUUGUAACGUCAUCGGAAGGUCGUGAGUUCGAGCCUCACUGGGGCAG
rnacentral:tRNA from 1 species